rnacentral:rRNA from 1 species
GACGAACCGUACAAACGUUAUUCGGAAUUACUGGGCUUAAAGGGUGCGUAGGCGGCGGUGCAAGUUGGGUGUGAAAUCCCUCGGCUCAACCGAGGAACUGCGCUCAAAACUGCAUUGCUUGAGGGAGAUAGAGGUGAGUGGAACUUAGGGUGGAGCGGUGAAAUGCGUUGAUAUCCUAAGGAACACCAGUGGCGAAAGCGACUCACUGGGUCUCUUCUGACGCUGAGGCACGAAAGCUAGGGUAGCGAACGGGAUUAGAA